rnacentral:rRNA from 1 species
CGUAAGGGAUGGUAGGGGAGCGUUCCAAGCAGCAGUGAAGCGGUAUCGUGAGGAGCCGUGGAGCGCUUGGAAGUGAGAAUGCCGGUGUGAGUAGCGAAAAGAGGGGUGAGAAUCCCCUCCGUCGAAAGCCCAAGGUUUCCUGAGGAAGGCUCGUCCGCUCAGGGUUAGUCUGGACCUAAGCCGAGGCCGAAAGGCGUAGGCGAUGGACAACAGGUUGAUAUUCCUGUACCGCCGUACCACCGUUUGAACGAUGGGGGGACGCAGAAGGAUAAGGUAACCGUGCGACUGGAAGUGCACGGACAAGCAGCGAGGCCGUCGGGUUGGCAAAUCCGCCCGGCAUACAAGGUCGAGCUGUGACGUGGAGCCCGUAGGGCGAAGUACCGGAUUUCACGCUGCCAAGAAAAGCCUCUAGUAAGGAGGUCGGCGCCAGUACCGUAAACCGACACAGGUAGGCGAGAUGAGAAUUCUAAGACGCGCGGGAUAAC